UUAAAAAAAAAAAAAAACCCCAAAUACCCAAUUACAAACAAAUUGCCAUAAUGAAUCGAGAGAGGAAAGGAUCACCGGUUGCUUGUUGAGGCCAAAAAAAUCAACUUGCAGCGAUCCAGGUAUGCGAAAGAGGAACAGAAUCGAUUACCAUGGUUUGCGAAUAAGGACCGAGGAAUGGUGAGGACAUGCAAUAGCCAAGGACUCCAUUGAGAGGAACAGAAUUUGUUUGUUGCCAGCGAGCUAUAGUGCUGCAUUGAAGAAUAAGUUGUGAAAGAAGAAGAUGAUGAUGAUAGAGGGGAAGAACUAAGAAGAUUGAUUGAGCAACUUUAAGGAGUUACGUAAGGGUAACUCUUAAUUAAGUACUACUAAUAACAAAAAUAAAUGCAAAAUGAGAAGAUUAAACAUGGUUUGGUUGAGAUUCUGCAAAGUUUGAGCCUUUGGGAGGGGCACCAAAAAGAAACGAAUGAAAAAGAAAAAAGAAGCAGAUGAAGAAGGGGAGGGGGAGCAGGUUACUGGCGUGAUGGG
rnacentral:misc_RNA from 1 species